rnacentral:rRNA from 1 species
GACGAACGCUGGCGGCGUGCUUAACACAUGCAAGUCGAGCGGUAAGGCCCCUUCGGGGGUACACGAGCGGCGAACGGGUGAGUAACACGUGAGCAAUCUGCCCUUCACACGGGGAUAACUCCGGGAAACCGAAGCUAAUACCCGAUACGACCACUGGCCGCAUGGCCUGGUGGUGGAAAGUUCCGGCGGUGAAGGAUGAGCUCGCGGCCUAUCAGCUUGUUGGUGGGGUAGUGGCCUACCAAGGCAACGACGGGUAGCCGGCCUGAGAGGGUGACCGGCCACACUGGGACUGAGACACGGCCCAGACUCCUACGGGAGGCAGCAGUGGGGAAUAUUGGACAAUGGGCGAAAGCCUGAUCCAGCAACGCCGCGUGAGGGAUGACGGCCUUCGGGUUGUAAACCUCUUUCAGCAGGGACGAAGCGCAAGUGACGGUACCUGCAGAAGAAGCACCGGCCAACUACGUGCCAGCAGCCGCAGUAAAAC